rnacentral:tRNA from 1 species
AGAUAAGAAGCAAAUCUUGCAUUUAGUUUCGACCUAAAAAUUUGGUUGUAAAUUCAACCCCUAUCUG